UCCCUGGUGGCUCAGAGGUUAAAGCGUCCACCUCUAAUGCGGGAGACCUGGGUUCAAUCCCUGGAUCGGGAA
rfam:TPA: Bos taurus chromosome 12, whole genome shotgun sequence.